AGUGAACGCUGGCGGUAGGCCUAACACAUGCAAGUCGAACGGCAGCACAGGAGAGCUUGCUCUCUGGGUGGCGAGUGGCGGAUGGGUGAGGAAUACAUCAGAAUCUACUCUGUCGUGGGGGAUAACGUAGGGAAACUUACGCUAAUACCGCAUACGACCUACGGGUGAAAGCAGGGGAUCUUCGGACCUUGCGCGAUUGAAUGAGCCGAUGUCGGAUUAGCUAGUUGGCGGGGUAAAGGCCCACCAAGGCGACGAUCCGUAGCUGGUCUGAGAGGAUGAUGAGCCACACUGGAACUGAGACACGGUCCAGACUCCUACGGGAGGCAGCAGUGGGGAAUAUUGGACAAUGGGCGCAAGCCUGAUCCAGCCAUACCGCGUGGGUGAAGAAGGCCUUCGGGUUGUAAAGCCCUUUUGUUGGGAAAGAAAUCCAGCUGGUUAAUACCCGGUUGGGAUGACGGUACCCAAAGAAUAAGCACCGGCUAACUUCGUGCCAGCCGCCGCGGUAA
rnacentral:rRNA from 1 species